rnacentral:lncRNA from 10 species
UUACAGCCCAGGACUCAGUCAAGGAUGCCUACUGGAAGCCUGGCAUGAAGAAAAUAUCCAUAGAAGAUGCACAGAAAAAAAUGAGAAAAGAAUCAAAGCAAGUCAACACACACAAAAAUCAGUGAAACACAAAGGAAGGGCACCAAGAGAAGAAAAGAGAGACAAAAUAACUACGAGACAGACAGAAGUAAUAAUAAAGUGGCAAUAAUAAGUUCUUUCCUAUCAGUAAUUAUUUUAAAUGUAAGUGGAUUAAUCUCUACAAUCAAAAGACAUAGUGUAGCUGAAUGAAUAAAAGUAAUUCUGGUUACUAGUUCCACGUGUAAGGAGCUUAGAAGUCACCCCUCUGUUUUAGCAAUAAGUAAAAGCUGAACGAACUGAAAGAUCAACAACUCUUCUUAGAUCCAUAAAACAAGUGAGGUCACAGGGCAAAUCAUUGCCCCCCAAAUUGGAGAGACAGGUAGAUACAGAGAAUCACAACAUACCAGAACAGAAACCUGUGUGGAAACCAGUGCCAGGGU